rnacentral:misc_RNA from 1 species
GGAAACGUGUGGCUGUCAAGUAUUACUCUGAUGAGUGGCCAACAAAUAGUGCAAAGGAAACUUUUGAGAAAGCUGUAUUUAGCAAAACUCAAAAGAGCAAUGCCCGAAAUGAAGCGGAGAUUGCAAUGUUUGAAAACAAUAUUGUUGUUUACAAGUUUGUGCAAGAUCUGCAUUUUUUUGUCACUGGUGGUGAAUAUGAGAACGAGCUUAUUUUGGCAACAGUUCUUCAGGGAUUCUUCGAUGCUGUUGGCCUUCUCCUUAGGGGUCACGUGGAAAAGAAGGAAGCACUUGAAAACUUGGAUCUUAUUUUAUUGUGUCUUGAUGAAAUUGUUGAUGGAGGUAUUGUUCUUGAGACCGACGGAAACGUUAUUGCUGGGAAAGUUGCAACUCCUGCUCAGGCCCAGGAAGUCCAUGCUGAAUUGAGGAAAUGGUUUCAGAACAAUGUUAGUGCUGAAGUUGCUGGAUCUGUUAGAAUUAUAUAUGGAGGUUCCGUAAAUGGUGCAAACUGCAAAGAACUUGCAGCACAACCUGACUUGGAUGGAUUUUUGGUUGGAGGAGCCUCGCUUAAGCCCGAGUUUGUUGACAUUAUCAAGUCUGCUACGGUGAAGAAAUCUUCAUGAAUCGCCUGAGGAUGAGAUGGUUCUAUCUUCCUUUAGGUACGCGGGAUAUGUUACGGAAAUUGUUGUUUGCUUGAGCAAUAAAGUUUGAGACCCAUGCUUUUGUAUAAUCAUCUUUUUGUAUUCUCUCCUUUUUGAUGCAUUUUGACAUAAAAUUGGCACGGUUGAGGUCAAUACUAUGGUUACAGUUGAAUUGAGAUCAUCUCAAUUCUGAUUCAGACAAAAUGUUGUGCGUUCUAAUUAUAAAAUGCUCUUUCAGAUUUC